rnacentral:tRNA from 1 species
GGAGCCGUACCUGAAAUAUAAGGACCACUUUGAUAGAGUGAAACACGUGGGUUAAAGUCCCUCCGGCCCCU